UCUCACAGCAGGAGUUUUGAUCGCUGUGUGGACUGCGGGUUAGAAAACUCUGACUCCGAGCUGCAUCAAGCCUAACGCUGUCCAGACCCUGCCGAGGACGGACACGAGGAUGAGCACCGAAGCCGACUGAGCUGACCCGACCACGUUAAGGCUGCGAGAACGGGAGGAUUCCGUAAAAAGCACACUAAGACUGUUACGUGCAUGACCUAAUAAAAUGAAGCUGCACUGAAUGGAAAGGUGUACUGGCUGGCUGUUCAAGCUAUGAAGCACCUACAAGCAAGUCAAGACUUGAUCUGCAAAACAAUCAGCACAAGCAAUUUCCCCCUCUCUGCUAUGACCUGGGAAAGCAGUAGAAGAUGGCUCAAGUCCUUGGGUCCCUGCACCCAUGGAGGAUACCCAGAAGAAGCUCCUAGCCCCUGGCUUCCAAUUGACUCAGCUCCGGCCUUUGCAACCAUGCAGCCAUUUCAGGAGUGAACCAGCGGAUGGAAGACAUUUUUUGUCUCUCUUACUGUCUACCUUUGAAAUAAAUACAUGAAAUCUUUUUUU